rnacentral:rRNA from 1 species
GACGAACGCUGGCGGCGUGCUUAACACAUGCAAGUCGAACGGAAAGGCCCUGCUUUUGUGGGGUGCUCGAGUGGCGAACGGGUGAGUAACACGUGAGUAACCUGCCCUUGACUUUGGGAUAACUUCAGGAAACUGGGGCUAAUACCGGAUAGGAGCUCCUGCUGCAUGGUGGGGGUUGGAAAGUUUCGGCGAUUGGGGGUGGACUCACGGCUUAUCAGCUUGUUGGUGGGGUAGUGGCUUACCAAGGCUUUGACGGGUAGCCGGCCUGAGAGGGUGACCGGCCACAUUGGGACUGAGAUACGGCCCAGACUCCUACGGGAGGCAGCAGUGGGGAAUAUUGCACAAUGGGCGGAAGCCUGAUGCAGCAACGCCGCGUGCGGGAUGACGGCCUUCGGGUUGUAAACCGCUUUCGCCUGUGACGAAGCGUGAGUGACGGUAAUGGGUAAAGAAGCACCGGCUAACUACGUG